rnacentral:rRNA from 1 species
UGGGGAAUAUUGGGCAAUGGGCGCAAGCCUGACCCAGCAACGCCGCGUGAAGGAAGAAGGCUUUCGGUAUGUAAAGCUCUAUCAGCAAGGAAGAAAAUGACGGUACUUGACUAAGAAGCCCCGGCUAACUACGUGCCAGCAGCCGCGGUAAUACGUAGGGGGCAAGCGUUAUCCGGAUUUACUGGGUGUAAAGGGAGCGUAGACGGCAAAGCAAGUCUGAAGUGAAAGCCCCGGGCUCAACCCGGGAACUGCUUUGGAAACUGUUUAGCUAGAGUGCAGGAGAGGUAAGUGGAAUUCCUAGUGUAGCGGUGAAAUGCGUAGAUAUUAGGAGGAACACCAGUGGCGAAGGCGGCUUACUGGACUGUAACUGACGUUGAGGCUCGAAAGCGUGGGGAGCAAACAGGAUUAGAUACCCUGGUAGU